AGAGAGAGAGAGAGAGAGAGGAAAGGGAGAGAGAAAGAGGGAGACAGACGGAAAAGGAGCGAACGAGUGGGAGAGGAACGGAAAGAAAACGCGACAGAAGAGGAUUUGUAGAAACAGAGGGAGAAAAAGACGUGUGAGCGACAUGUGUCUGUGUUGAGAAUACCAUCCACGAUAGUACGGCGGCCGAGGGUGCGCCGAGAGAGAAGAUCGGUUGCAUUCUCUUCUCGUCAUAUCCGACACCUUCUCGUCACCUACACGGAACUAUCGAUGCAGACCUUACGGAAGAAAAACAGUCCGUGCAAGUUCAAGAACGAACCAACCCGAUUUCUUGGGGAGGGUGUGUCGUUCAAGGCGAAGCUGAUUGGCAUAUUGGAAGUAUCGGAAGCACGCGGGGACCGGAUGUGCCAAGCAGCUUUGGCGGAUCUGAAGAUGGCGAUUCGGGCUGCCGGUGAACACAAACAACGAAUCGCCGUUCAGGUCAGCAUCGAUGGAUUACGCUUGCGGGACGAAAAGUCUGGGGACUGUCUGUAUCACCAUCCUGUACAUAAGAUAUCGUUCAUCGCGCAGGACAUGAGCGAUUCGAGGGCUUUCGGAUAUAUUUUUGGGUCACCAGACACUGGCCAUCGUUUCUUUGGCAUCAAGACGGACAAAGCGGCAAGCCAAGUGGUAAUCGCGAUGCGAGACUUGUUCCAAGUGGUGUUCGAGUUGAAAAAGAAGGAGAUCGAGCUAACGAAGCAGCACUUAGAGCAAAACGCCAUGAACGUUAUUAAAUUUCAUACCACUGGCAUCUUUGUCGAACCCACCCCCGAUACUAAAGGCGCAGCAGGAUCAGAAUCCUCCCUUCAUCGCGUAAGGAAUACCAAUUCGGAGGUGGACAAGUCGGUUGACAAACGAAACGAGCCACAAAGUGGCGUGAUAAGAGACUUGUUGGAUAUACAAUUCGAAUUGGACUCUCUGCAGCAAGGUAUUCAUCACAUGAAUAAAAUUACCCCUGAUAACCCGCCACCCUCCGCUGACGAUCUGUUUGAAACCGAUCCGUUUGGCGAUUCGUUCGCGAACAUGAAGCUGGAAGAUACUGUACGGCCAAUUUUACCGCCGCCACCGUCAUCGUCUAAAAGAGGCCACCUAGAGCGACAGCAAACAGUUCCAGGCCCCCAGUCGUCGAUCACGUCGAGCCCGGCGACCACUUUGACUAGCAAAACCCCUCCGCUUCAAGGCAAUAUUCAGUGGUUCGAGAAGGAAGCCGAAAAUCUCUUCAGUGACAGCGAUCUCACCGGCUCUGCCAAGAACACGCCUGUUAAAAAGGACUCGGAAGAGACCCAAGCCAAGAGCCCGCAAAUCGACGUGUUCACGGAGCUGGACCCGCUCGGAACCGGCUUGAUAAAACCCUACGUGGACAAGAAGGAUUUCUUCCAACAUCUGAAGAACCCUCCCAAGAAAGUUCUGAAAGACCUGGUGUCCACCAGCUCGGCAGACACGUUCCCAACGAACUUUAACGUCCUCUCGGAGCCACUAGAGUCGGCGAAACCGCGAAACGACAUAGCCCCGAAAGAGAAUCAGUUCGAGGACACGAAUUUCGCGAACUUCGACCGAUUCGACGAGAACGAGGCGAUUCAAUCGGUGUUCACGCGCUCCGACUCGUCCAGAAGAUCUACUCAUCAUCAGCCUCUUUCCGUGUCUCUGCCACCUGAAGACUCCCCUACCUCGAAAUCCUCGGCAAUCUCGAUUCCCACAUCUGCCGGCGUUUCUAUGCUUAGCAGAAUGGACAAGGACUCCACGGAAUCUAUGCACGGCCUGGUGAAACUUCCCAGUCCCAUAAAAUCCACACGCAAGAAGGAAUUCGACAUCGACGUAACUGGUGGCAAAGUGUCGUCCAUGGACAAACCGUUUCCAGUGGACUUCUCGGCAGCCAGCGACUCACCAGCGUCCCCGCUAAAGUCUUGCCCCUCCGACGCCAACUCCAGACUGUCCAGUUCCUCCGCGGAACUGGAACUCGUACCUGAACCUCCCCCACGGGGAGUAGCCAACAUCUUGAUCAAUCCACCGCCUCUGCCACCGAAGAAGCAAGGAGUCAGGGGUGUGGCGAAGCCUCCUCCAAGGCCACCGCAUACGGACACCUACUUUCACUACGAUUUCCCGGAAAGAGAGCCCGUGGCGACGACGAAAGACAGAAGCAUGAGCCCGUUAAGGGACGGAAGGAGCCAAUCGGAUGACAGUUUCAGCUCGCCUGUUCAGCUGUCUGGCAAGUCGGACCUGAUAAGCGCGAUGGCCACGUCAGCGUUCGAGGACUCGUUCAGCUCCAUGAUACCGAGCGCGUUUUUCACCGACACCAGCAGCACCCCAAUCGGACCCAAGAAGACGAAACCCUCGUUGGACAUCACCCUGAGCCAGUUAACAUCCACUAACUUGGACGAAUUGGCGAACAGUCUAGGGAUGACAGUGAAAGAGCUGACCAGUCUGACUCUUCAGCAGUUGACCGAGUGUUUGGCCACUCUCUCGGCGAAGGAAGCAGCCGCCAACGAUAACGAAGAACCCGUCUUUACGAAGCAAGAGAAGGCCGGUGUCGCGCAAUCGCAAUCGCACGUGUCUAGCAUGGCGCAGUCGAAAGCUUUCGAGCAACAACAGCCAUUCGCGAAGAUGAACGUCGAGCAGGAGACCAAGCAGGAAGCUACGUACGACAAGUACGCUGUUUUCAGAGAGCUGCUGGAGCUGGAGCAGAUGGAGAAGAACGACGAGAACGCCGCGAAAGACACCAUGGAGGAAGAAACGUUUUCAGUGACGAAGGAGGAACUUGAAACAGCCGAAACUCAGCAACAGCAGGAAACUAUCGAGGAGCCGAGAUCGGAAAGUUUGGCUACUCUGGUGAACCUGACGGUGAAACUGCCGCCUAGUAACGAAGAUCUGACCAAGGAGGAGCAAACUGAAACAAAGUUCGAGGAAACGACCGAACCGCCGUCGAGUCUGACGUUUGAGAAGAUCCAACCGACGGAAGCGGAAAGUAAGACAGAACUGGUGGCAGAGGCGGAAGCGUUGACGGAUCUGUUGACGAAACAAGGAGAGGAAGACUCCGAGAAAACGAAAGCUGCAGCCGACGUCGAGGAGAAGAGAACGGAGGAGGAACCGGAGGUGGCUGCUGAGAAACUCAGCGAGAUCAAUGACGACUCCGACAAGCCAGAAGCCAAGGAGACGAGCACGGAGGAGACGAAUGGGUCGCUGAUCGAAGUGAACAAAGCCGAGGUGAAGUCUUCCGUGUCCACGUCCAGCGACAAAUACGCGGCACUGCGCGAGAUCAUAGGCGAACCGGAACCGCCGGUGAAACAACCGGAGGAUGACACGCCGAAUUCCACGAGAAUGUCACCGGUGAUUCAGCUACCGACGCAGCAAAAGACUUCGGCCGAGGUGGAGUUGCUGAAUCUAUUUUCCGACACGCCUCCGCCCUCGAGUCCCAAGAAACAGGCAAAGAAGGAGGAAGACUCGAGCUCGAUGGGAAUGGACAUUUUCGAGGAGAUCAAAAUGUUGAGCAACAGCGGACACGCGGCAAAGACCAAGUCCCUGAUCCCCGAGGACAUCUUCUCGCCGUUCACGGAGCUGAAGCCAGAGAGGGACGAGAGCAAAGACGACAGCAACUGGACCAAGUUCGACACAGGCCUCUUCGUCUCGGACAGACCCCUGUCCGAGUGUCCCCCUCCGAUCAGUCGAACGUCACCGUGGUCGCCCGAUGGCAAGGAGUUCCACAGAGAGGCUUCGUUCAAAGGAAGCGUUUACCAACAGUCAGGCGACAGUGACAACGAGUGGAAAGACGAGGAGGAGAGCGAGGAGAGCAACGGAAGGAUACGAGAUGGCAGGUUCAGGUGUAGCCACUAUCCGAGAUUCGACGUUCCUUUCGGCUCGGAGAGGGGUUUCUACGAGGAGACAAGCGGUUCAGGGAACAAACGAGACUGGGGCUUCCGAGAUAGAACGAUGGAAAAGUCGCGCGACGCCGCGUGGAUCAAGAACUCGGGUCACAGGCCGCGCGACUCCUCGCCGUGGCACGACGAGAGCCAGUGGGAGAAAGAGUCCAAGCAUUAUCCUCACAGAAAGAUGCAGUACAAGGACGAGGAGGAGCACUACGAGCUUCACAGGAAGUGCAGAUCGAAGCCCCAACGUUGGAACUGGCCGCACGAGCACGGGCCGUUCUACGACGACGAGAGAAGAAGGAAAAUGAUGCUGUGGAAGGAGGACAGGUUCGGUAGCCAAGAGAGCAUGGGAUACGACGACGACGACAGGUGGUCGAGGAGGAAGUACGAGAGAAGACGAUGGGAGGAGGACGCGAGAUUUUGGAACAGGAGGCCAACCGGUCCGCCAGACUCCGACUAUCCUAGCAGAGAAAGCUAUUACUAUUACAGGGAACGGCCGCACGAUUAUCCCUCGGCCUGGAACGAAGACUACGGCUCCGACAGACCGACGGACGACUCCCCGAGAUACAACCAGUCAGCGAGAAAGCGGCACUGGCCGAAGAGGCCGAACAGCGCGAAUGAGGGACGCAACGUAGACAUGGUCUACCCCGAGUCACGAGGGAAAUUCGGCACCUCCAGGUCCGAGUGCAACGACAACGACUCGGACCCCUAUCUACGGUCGUCGCAACGUUCCAGAAGUCGGCAAAGUUACUGGGGCAGCGACCAAGAGUACGACAGUUGGGUUGACAGGCCUUACUGGUCCGAGGAGCCGGACACCAAGAGCGAGAAUCUCCAUCGAAAGAGAAUACCGAGGCACAAACUUCGCCAGGCUCACCCGGCGAAAACCCAGAGCCCGUUCGAGGACGAUUUCGCCCAGAGCGUGGAGCACGCGGACCCCUCGGCCGCUGAGUCUCUCACCACGGCGGAGCCACGUGUACGUUCGGAAGCGAGCAGCGAGCAGAAACCAUCUCCCCAGAGUCCCUCGUCUUUCGCCACGAGAUACGCGAAAGCUCCCGGGAGGAGGGGAGCGAUGCCAGUGGAAGAGGUAUACAGCAGCAAGAGAUCCAGCUACUUCGAGGACGAUCUGUCGUUCACAGCUACCGGGAUCAGCGACUCGUCCGACAGACAGAGGCUUCCCUCCGACCAGAAGGCCACGCCCGAGGAACUUCCCUGCGAUUCCAAGAACGCUCAUCAGACGACCGACGAUUUCGUGUCGGGCGACAGCAGCCGCGACUCAUUCUUCAACGGGCACCUGAGAUACGACGACGACGCGUUCGCUUUCAAGCCGGAAAUGGAGGACAACGUCCCCGAUCACAGAGCGACCACCUUGCCAUUGAAGAAUCACGCUCGACAGGGCAAGUACUCCGCCGGUAGUAACAACAACAACAACAACAACAACAACAAGUCGAGGAACGACCAGCACAUCAGGAAGUCGGAAUCGGUGAAUAUAUUCGUCAGGGAGAACGAUCCGUUCGGCGACGACGAUUUCUUCGAUUGAUGGGUCGUUGGAGACGUGUUCUACCUUGCUGGACGUUUCGACGAGGUCUCGCGCGUCAGUUGCCAGCUCACGGAAGUGGUGGCGGGGUGAUUUCUCGAGGAGCUAAGUUAGUUAGUUGAGAUCUGUACAACGCGAAUGUGAGAGGACUAGGUAUGAUCGAGGAUCUACGAGGCGAGAAGAGGAUUCGUUUUGGCGAGGUCGAUAGCGAGAUAUCGACGGGGUACGAGCGACGUGCCGACCUGCUAGUCAUUGUUUUAAUAAAUUUGUACAUAAUGUUAUAUCGGCGUUAGCGUGAAAUUGAUUCGUCGAUCGGGGUAUAUGUGCGCGCAGUUUGUACGACCAACUGAGUACAUUCAAUUGAGCAUUUUGUUUUCAAUUCCUCAUUGUCGUUCUAUCGAGCACGUGAUUAUGUUCUAUGUGUAACUAGAUUCGAGGGAAAGUGGAGUGCUGCUGUACGGUUUCAGUCGAGUUGACUUGUGAGUAUUUUUGUUCGUUUCGUUUGUUCGAAAUCGCGCAUCUUUCGAUUGUGCACUCUGUGAUUAAACGAUGAUGAUUCUUUAUACAGACGACUUAAUUUAGAUAACCAAAUGACGACGAUACUUCAUGCAUAACAGUUCAAGCUAAGUCGCAUAAUCUUCUGGAGCAUUCUUUUCCUAAUUCGACGAUGAAGAUUAUUUCUCGUGUAAAAUAUGUAAAAUUUAAAUCUAGUCCACAGACACGGUCACGAUCAGUAUGAUAUCUGUUGAACGUUAUUAAUAAUUUGAUUAUUCGAAGAUGAGAAUUUUAAUGAAAUGGUGGUAAAGACCAUCUCAUUUCAUUUAAAAUUACAAUCGUAUCAAUUUUAUCAAUGUAAUAGAGAUAGCGUCACGUUUAAUGGAAGAAUUAAGCAACUGAAUAUUCUUUCUUUAAUAUGAACAUGAGAUCAAUUCCAUUUAUCUUUUUUAUAAAGACAAAUGAAAGACUCGCGUUUUUUUUUUAAAUUAAACUUUUUUAAUUUUCUUCCGAGCACUCCACUGUUUCACAGCUGAGUCAAUCGUGUUCCUGUUUCUUUUUCCGUUUCGUACGAUCACGAUGCUAGUCAUGUUCGAGUGAUUUAGGGUGCUACACAGAAGAAUAUAGGCUGAAUUGUCGAUGGUUAUUGCGACUGAAAUCGUUGGAAAGAUCUUUCGGUCUGCGCUUCUCUCGUUCGUCUGCAUUCUUUUCUAAGAAAAUUUUUCAUUAACAAAAUUUUAAUCUUCCACCUCUCGAAACCUUUUUUUUCUUUUUUCGUUAUUUAAUCCUUUCUGAUAGCAGCAAAGUUAUCAGAUUUCUGCGUAUAUCUUAUCACUUUUGCUUCAUUUGUUUCAACUCUUCAAAAAUAUUUUACUACAACUUAUCAUUUCGAAGCUCACAGAGAAAUUUUUAUCAAAAGAACGAUGCCUUUUGGUUAUUCAAUUGGGAAACUAGAAAAAUAUUGGAAAGCUCGAGAGAGUAUCACAAUAAUUAAAAGGGAAAGGAAAGAGAGGAAGGAAAAUAUCUAAUAAUAGCUUUGACAAUGAAUGCCUGGGAGGAUUUCGUUAGAUUGUUUUGGAACGUUUGGAGAAUUAAAAUGUGACUUUUAUACUGUUUCUCGAAUCGAUUCCGUAUUAGGGACAAAUUAGGUUCGACUAUCAAUCGAAAAGGAGAGAAAGGAGAGAAAGGAGAAAAGACGAAGAUACGAAGGGGGGAGAAAAGACGCCGUCAGUCUAGAUUCUAGAUAGUUUACAAUUGCUAUUUAUUCACACCAAAUGAAACCAAAUGUUAGGCGAUCGUUUUACUUGUUUUUUAUUCGCAGUAGAAUUUUUAUAUUACAGACGAUAUUUGUUUAAAUAGAACCGAUGUUUAUUUCUAUUUAUUUACUCGCCAUAGAAUUUUCAUAUUGUAAAUAAUGUUUGUUCAAAUGAUAGAACCGAUGUUACACGAUCCUUCGUUUAUUGAUUUUUCAUUUGAAACAGUUGGAGCAUUUACAGAUAAACAUUGUUGUUUCGAGAACGACAAACUAUUUGUUACUUGAAUCUGUUUUCUAGGGUACGAAUUGCAGUCAGAAUUGUCACUGACAAUAACGUAAUCUCGAUGCAAUUACACUCACACCGGCUACGAAACGACGAUGCGACUUCCGUUGAAUAAGUUUGCGCGAUUCGCAAAGAAUCGUCGCGCAUUGAACGACAAGGGAAACGAAUUCGAACCAAAUUCUAUGCAUUUAUUUGUAAUAACGACGCCCGUUUAGGAGAAAAAAAAAGAAAACAAAGAGAAAAAACGGCGCUGAAUUUGUCACUGAAAGUGUAAACACAUGCAUAUCGCGACUAAGCCGAGCAUUUUUUUACGUUGCACUGGCAACAUUCAUUAUUCCGCUUUUAUCGAGCAAACGAACAACCGUCAAUGGCAAUAAAUUGCGUUAAGAGCGUAGAUUGUAAUAAGGUGGCGUUCAAUUUUUUGAAUUUUACGGCGGCUUAAAUCCGACGAGAGGAUAUCAAUGUUCAACGUGUUGUCUGUAAUCGAAUCUCGCGUGAGAACAACUGGGUAAUCAUUUUUAUAUUCUCUUAAAAUAAUAUUCUCUUUUGUAUUCGUUCUUGCGAAAAUAUGCACGGCGCACGUCUCCGAGUAUAUCUGUUCGAACUGUAUUCAUCCGUUGAAACUGGCCAUUUACACUGAAAUUAUGUUAUCUAUACUGUCAUCUAGAAAUUAGAAAUUAAAUUAUUCACUUUGUUUGUCUGCACGAUUCGUGUUAAAAAAAA